ensembl:lncRNA
GUCACGCACCCCUUUAUUAAAGGUGAAGACAAUGGGUUUGGUUUACUUUUCGCAUCGGCCUGUGUCAAUCGAGGUUGAGUUUAGUGAGGGUUGAAAGUUUUCGAUCUAGAUUGCAGAUCGCUAUUGUCACUUUAUACAAACUGAAAGUAUGCGUUGUUGCGUGUUUGUUUUUGUGGGCAUUUGACUGAACAGCCCAGACAAAUAUUGCUACCAACAUGGCACUUCGAAACAGACCACCGCAGUGUUGGAUGACUGACAAGAUCUAUGGGGGGGCCCCCUUUGGGCCCCCCCAUACCAACUUAGUCUUCAAAAGGAAUCUAGUGCCAUGGGACUCCAGUGUCUUCAAAACUUCCUCGGAAUGUGUAUGAUUGGUCCACCGAAGGGUUGAUCUGGAAGCCACCACGGUCCACGCAGUAAUCUGCUGCGUGGGCCGUAGUGGCUUCCAGAGCCAUCUUUCGGUCUUGGUCAGGAUUUGUUACAGUUGCCCUUCAAUGUAGCAGGCUACGGGUUUCUGAAGAAGCCUGCUUUACGUAGAAUUGGAGUACAAAUAUUGUGCAAAAUGCUCAUGUAAUUGCACCAGCACUAGUAACAUGUAGAUUAGCUUAGUUUAACGUCAUUCCGUGCUGUCUCUGUCAAAUGUGUGGCUUACUUUAAGUCCACAAGGCCCUCUGGUAAACCACGUUGGAACACCCCUGGACAAGGUGAUUAGUCACUGGGUGUGUGCUAAAGUUUUGUUCCAUUUUUCACUAGUUGGUUAAGGUUUGGUAGAAUUGUUUGGAUGCUAGCGACGUGAUGGCGUAUGUACAAGAGCCUACCGUGGCCAGGCCACAGUUGCGACGGCCAGAUGGCCUAGUGUGAGUGCAACCUUGAUUGCAUUUAUAUACUGUUUACCAUUGGAUGUUUAUGCAAUUUGGCUUAAUUCAUCCGCAGUAAAGCUGCAUUUGACUAUUCCAGGGUCGUUUUGUACAGGCUUUCAAUUGACCAUGUUGACUAGUUUGUGGGAUUUUCUUUAAGUUUUUUUACCCUUGCUUACAAUCCAACGGUUGUGACCACUUAUGCAACUGGGCUGUGAACCUUGCAAUUCUAGUUGCAUAUUUGUAUACGCAAGCUUGUCCAUUUCUAUCGCCAUCACUAACACUAGCUUCAGCAUUUCCUUGUAGGCCAUUAGCUGACUUGUGUAUUGGAGCGAUGAUUUGGGUAUUUUAAGAUGCUUGAAAACCUUAAAUAAAGCAAAAUGCGUGUCUGGUGUGCAAGAGCCAAUUUGUUGGCUUGCAGUAGUCGAGGAGUUGCCGUAGGUCGUAAGCCAUCUGGAGGUUGUGGCAAUGGAGGCUUGUGGUAGAUCUGCCAUCCAAGAAAGGUUAAUUCUUCUGAAGCAUGAUUAAUAGUUUAGUAAAUUGAAUCUAUUCAUAUAGAACUAUAAAAUCCAAGACUGCAGCCAGUAACUUGGAUCGCAAUAUGUGGAAAGUAUAGUCUUUAUUUGUCACAACAGAACAAUUAACAUGACUAACUGGGUUUCUUCCAUUUUCUAACUAGGGGGACUUGACUGGUGAGUCUACUGGAUUAAUCAGUAGCGGUACUUUGCCCAACUGAUUUGAUGGCAUGACUACAGGUUGGUGGUUCAACACUGAUGUCUCUCUAGGCUUGAGGGAGAGCUCACAAGUAAAUUACACCAAUGUCCUGGAGGAAUUGGGAAUACACUUUUAUUUAGUCUACCUGACCAGGGACAUCUUUGAACUACAGGUCACCUAACCCAAACUUUUCACUCUUGUUAGGUUGUCCUUUUCUCUUGUUUUAAACCCGAAAGGGCUGAAAUAUCAACAUUUCAGGUAUUCUGUUUGGAUAAUGUGCAAAACUUGUGGCUUCACUAAUAAAAAAAAUUAACAAAUGUAUUUUUCUUAAUGUGGUUAAACUAUUUAAAGAUUUGCAUUCAAAAUGUUUCUGCUCAAUUUGUGGUCAAUGAAACUCUG